GUGGAACGCGCCCCGGCGCACCCAGAAACCCUUUGUGAAUUCAUACCUAUUGUUGCUUCGGCGCCAGGCCGGCCCCUUAGGGGCCCCUCGGAGACGAGGAGCAGGCCCGCCGGCGGUACACCAAACUCUUGUUUUUACACUGAAACUCUGAGCAAAAAAACAAAUGAAUCAAAACUUUCAACAACGGAUCUCUUGGUUCUGGCAUCGAUGAAGAACGCAGCGAAAUGCGAUAAGUAAUGUGAAUUGCAGAAUUCAGUGAAUCAUCGAAUCUUUGAACGCACAUUGCGCCCUCUGGUAUUCCGGAGGGCAUGCCUGUUCGAGCGUCAUUUCAACCCUCAAGCCUGGCUUGGUGAUGGGGCACUGCUUCGAGAGGGGCAGGCCCUGAAAUCUAGUGGCGAGCUCGCCAGGACCCCGAGCGCAGUAGUUAAACCCUCGCUCCGGAAGGCCCUGGCGGUGCCCUGCCGUUAAACCCCCAACUUCUGAAAAUUUGACCUCG
rnacentral:rRNA from 1 species